UACGUAGGGGGCAAGCGUUGUCCGGAUUUAUUGGGCGUAAAGAGCGUGUAGGCGGCCAGACAGGUCCGUUGUGAAAACUCGAGGCUCAACCUCGAGAUGUCGAUGGAAACCGUCUGGCUAGAGUCCGGAAGAGGAGAAUGGAAUUCCCGGUGUAGCGGUGAAAUGCGCAGAUAUCGGGAAGAACACCCGUGGCGAAGGCGGUUCUCUGGGACGGUACUGACGCUGAGACGCGAAAGCGUGGGGAGCGAACAGG
rnacentral:rRNA from 1 species